UGCCUAACAGCUAGCCCACCCAAACAAUUUCAACAAACCCCUGUUAAUAACCCCUAAGUACCCCAGUAUUUAUUUUAAACAAACCAUUUUUCCCCCCUAGUAUAGGCGAUAGAAAAGGGCCCACGGCGCAAUAGAGAAAGUACCGCAAGGGAACGCUGAAAGAGAAGUGAAACAACCCAGUAAAGCCUAAAAAAGCAGAGAUCUAAACUCGUACCUUUUGCAUCAUGAUUUAGCAAGUGUAACCCAAGCAAAGCGUACUUUAGUUUGACGUCCCGAAACUAGGUGAGCUACUCCAAGACAGCCUAUCAAUAGGGCGUACCCGUCUCUGUGGCAAAAGAGUGGGGAGAGCUUUGAGUAGAGGUGACAAACCUACCGAACCUAGUUAUAGCUGGUUGUCCAAGAAAUGAAUAGAAGUUCAGCCUUUCAGCUUCUCUUUUCACCUUAGUCUGACCCCUAUUGAUGCAUUAAAGAAACCGAAAGAGUUAGUCAAAGGGGGUACAGCCCCUUUGAAUCAAGACACAACUUUACCAGGAGGGUAAAGAUCAUAAUAAUUAAAGCUAAAUGUUCGGGUGGGCCUAAAAGCAGCCAUCCCCUUAGAAAGCGUUAAAGCUCAGACAUGCGACUAUCCUUCUUAUCCUGAUCACUCAAUCUUACCCCCCUAACCGUACUGGACCAUCCCAUGCCAACAUGGGAGUGACUAUGCUGAAAUGAGUAAUAAGAGAGCUACCGGCUCUCUCCCUGCACACGUGUAUAUCGGAACGGACAACCCACCGAACCUUAACGGCCCCAAAUAAAGAGGGCAGUGGAUGUUAGACCAAAAAACUAGAAAAGUAUCCAAAAACCAACCGUUAAACCCACACAGGUGUGCCCCCAGGGAAAGACUAAA
rnacentral:rRNA from 1 species